GCGAGGGAGGAGUGCUAGUGGGACAGGCCGGACUCGGCCACCCACACUAGCUGUUGUUGAGGAGGAGGACGACCUGGCAGCUCCUCCAGAGGGGGCUGAGGCUCAGGAGGGUGUAGAGCCAGCUCCAGCACCUCGUAGACCUCGAGCUCGGCGCCAGCCUGUUGAGGGGGAAGUCUUGGAUGCCACUGGCAGAGUCCGAGUCAUCCCCAACGCACAGAGGAACAGGUUGCUCGAUACCAGCACGGUAUCUAGAGAGUUGCGGGAAAUCUUCCAGAGUCGGUGGUGGGCAGUAGGCACCGCUUAGAGAUUUUUGCCUGAGGAAGCUGUUUCUUUUUACUUCGAGGAGUUUAAGAAAAAAUUCUUCUGGGAGGACGAAUUCGAGGAACGAGUCAUCCGAAGUACUUUCGAGAAGCAUGCUGCGAACCGGUAUUCUGACAGGCUGUCCACCUACAAGACUUCUCGUGAGAGAGACGUGUCUAUUACCGACGACUUGUGGGAGGCAUGGGAGAGAGUUUGGGACUCUGAUGAGGCGAAGAAGAAAUCGGCCCAGGCGCGGGCCAAUCGGAUGAGCGAGCCGGCCGGAGCUGGUACUGGACCGGUUCGACAUACUGGAGGCUCGAUGUCUGCUUUGAAGCAUAAGGCUGUUUUGGCUAAGGAGCUGGGGCGUGAGCCGACACAUGCUGAGGUGCACAAGCGGAUGCACACUCUGAAGGCUGACCCGACACGAUUCGUUGAC